rnacentral:misc_RNA from 1 species
AUGAGAACGUAGCGAAAUGCGAUAAGUAAUGUGAAUUGCAGAAUUCAGUGAAUCAUCGAAUCUUUGAACGCACAUUGCGCCCGCCAGUAUUCUGGCGGGCAUGCCUGUUCGAGCGUCAUUUCAACCAUCAAGCCCCCGGCUUGUGUUGGGGACCUGCGGCUGCCGCAGGCCCUGAAAAGCAGUGGCGGGCUCGCUGUCACACCGAGCGUAGUAGCAUACAUCUCGCUCUGGGCGUGCUGCGGGUUCCGGCCGUUAAACCACCUUCAUAACCCAAGGUUGACCUCGGAUCAGGUAGGAAGACCCGCUGAACUUAAGCAUAUCAAUAAGCGGAGGA